rnacentral:rRNA from 1 species
AGAGUUUGAUCAUGGCUCAGAUUGAACGCUGGCGGUAUGCUUAACACAUGCAAGUCGAACGCGAAAGCACCUUCGGGUGUAAGUAGAGUGGCGGACGGGUGAGUAAGGCAUGGGAAUCUGCCCUAUAGCGGGGGAUAACUUGGGGAAACCCAAGCUAAUACCGCAUACACCUACGGGUAAAAGAUGGCCUCUUCUUGAAAGCUAUUACUAUAGGAUGAGCCCAUGUAAGAUUAGCUAGUUGGUAGGGUAAAAGCCUACCAAGGCUACGAUCUUUAGCUGGUCCGAGAGGACGAUCAGCCACACUGGGACUGAGACACGGCCCAGACUCCUACGGGAGGCAGCAGUGGGGAAUAUUGGACAAUGGGGGCAACCCUGAUCCAGCAAUACCGCGUGUGUGAAGAAGGCCUGCGGGUUGUAAAGCACUUUUAUCUGUGAGGAAGGGUUUAAUGUUAAUACCAUUAGACAU